rnacentral:miRNA from 1 species
UCACUGGGUAGAGUUUGUCCAA